GACGAACGCUGGCGGCGUGCCUAAUACAUGCAAGUCGAACGGUCUUUUCUAUGGAAGCUUGCUUCCACUGAGACGAUAGUGGCGAACGGGUGAGUAACACGUGGGUAACCUGCCCAUACGAGGGGGAUAACAUCCGUAAACGGUGGCUAAUACCGCAUAGGUGUCUUGAUCGCAUGAGCGAGAAAGGAAAGACGGCCUUUGUGCUGUCGCUUCUGGAUGGACCCGCGGGGUAUUAGUUAGUAGGUAAGGUAACGGCUCACCAAGACGAUGAUACGAAGCCGCCCUGAGAGGGCGAUCGGCCACAUUGGGACUGAGGCACGGCCCAAACUCCUACGGGAGGCAGCAGUAGGGAAUCUUCCGCAAUGGACGAAAGUCUGACGGAGCAACGCCGCGUGAGUGAAGAAGGUUUUCGGAUCGUAAAGCUCUGUUGUCAGAGAAGAACAAGUCGGAGAGUAACUGCUCCGGCCUUGACGGUAUCUGACCAGAAAGCCACGGCUAACUACGUGCCAGCAGCCGCCGUAACAC
rnacentral:rRNA from 1 species